rnacentral:rRNA from 1 species
AGAAUUGAUCUGGUUCAGGAUGAACGCUAGCGACAGGCUAACACAUGCAAGUCGAGGGGCAGCACGGGAGUAGCAAUACGUUGGUGGCGACCGGCGCACGGGUGAGUAACGCGUAUGCAACCUACCUAUCAGAGGGGAAUAACCCGGCGAAAGUCGGACUAAUACCGCAUAAAACAGGGGCACCGCAUGGUGAUAUUUGUUAAAGAAAUUCGCUGAUAGAUGGGCAUGCGUUCCAUUAGGUAGUUGGUGAGGUAACGGCUCACCGAGCCGACGAUGGAUAGGGGAACUGAGAGGUUGGUCCCCCACACUGGUACUGAGACACGGACCAGACUCCUACGGGAGGCAGCAGUGAGGAAUAUUGGUCAAUGGGCGGGAGCCUGAACCAGCCAAGUCGCGUGAAGGAAGAAGGAUCUAUGGUUCGUAAACUUCUUUUGCAGGGGAAUAAAGUGCAGGACGUGUCCUGUUUUGUAUGUACCCUGAGAAUAAGGAUCGGCUAACUCCGUGCCAGCCGCUGC